AACGUAGGGGACAAGCGUUAUCCGGAUUUACUGGGCGUAAAGCGCCCGUAGGCGGCUUGAUAAGUUGGACGUGAAAGCUCCCGGCUUAACUGGGAGAGGCCGUUCAAAACUGACAGGCUAGAGUGAGGAAGAGGAGAGCGGAAUUCCCGGUGUAGUGGUGGAAUGCGUAGAUAUCGGGAGGAACACCAGUGGCGAAGGCAGGUCUCUGGGCCGCAACUGACGCUGAGGAGCGAAAGCAUGGGGAGCGAACAGG
rnacentral:rRNA from 1 species